UACGGGGGGAGCAAGCGUUGUUCGGAUUUACUGGGCGUAAAGGGCGCGUAGGCGGUCAGCACAAGUCAGUUGUGAAAUCCCCGGGCUUAACCUGGGAACCGCAUUUGUGACUGCAUAGCUGGAGUACGGCAGAGGGGGAUGGAAUUCCGCGUGUAGCAGUGAAAUGCGUAGAUAUGCGGAGGAACACCGAUGGCGAAGGCAGUCCCCUGGGCCUGUACUGACGCUCAUGCACGAAAGCGUGGGGAGCAAACAGG
rnacentral:rRNA from 1 species